rnacentral:rRNA from 1 species
UACGAAGGGGCUAGCGUUGUUCGGAAUCACUGGGCGUAAAGGGCGCGUAGGCGGCUUUAUAAGUCGGGGUGAAAGCCUGUGGCUCAACCACAGAAUUGCCUUCGAUACUGUAGAGCUUGAGACCGGAAGAGGUAAGUGGAACUGCGAGUGUAGAGGUGAAAUUCGUAGAUAUUCGCAAGAACACCAGUGGCGAAGGCGGACUUACUGG